rnacentral:rRNA from 1 species
CCCAUGAUCCGUUACAGGACUAUUGGAGGGCAGUUCUGGUGCCAGCAGCCGCGGUAACUCCAGCUCCAAUAGCGUAUAUUAAUGUUGUUGCGGUUAAAACGUUCGUAGUUGAACUUGUGCUUCAUACGGGUAGUACAACUAUAAUUUUAGAUUGUGCUAUACCUUAUGUAUGUAAGCGUAUUACCGGUGGGGUUCUUAUAUGCAAAUGUAAUACUUGUAUUCUUUUGUAUAUUCCUCCUAUUUAAACCUGCCUCAAUGCUCUUCAUCGGGUGUUGUUGCGGGCCGGUACAAUUACUUUGAACAAAUUAGAGUGCUUAAAGCAGGCUCCAAAUGCCUGAAUAUUUUGUGCAUGGAAUAAUGGAAUAAGACCUCUGUUCUACUUUCAUUGGUUUUUAGAUCAAGAGGUAAUGAUUAAUAGAAGCAGUUUGGGGGCAUUAGUAUUACGACGCGAGAGGUGAAAUUCUUGGACCGUCGUAAGACUAACUUAAGCGAAAGCAUUUGCCAAAGAUGUUUUCAUUAAUCAAGAACGAAAGUUAGAGGUUCGAAGGCGAUCAGAUACCGCCCUAGUUCUAACCAUAAACAU